UUGCACUCCAGCCUGGGCGACAGAGUGAGACUCCAUCUCAAAAAGGGAAAAAAAAAGGCCACAUGGACUCAACAUCAAAUAGAGCUCAUCUCCCUGGAACCUUUGCCACAUCUGCUCUCACAGUUCAUGUCACUUGUGACUUCUGUUUUUCAGGUUUGGGCAAAACUACCCCUGACCCUUCAGCUAGUAUUAGUCUGGAUGGUGUAGAGGUUCCUCUUGGGACCGGGAUUUCAUCUGGUGUGAAUGACACCUGUCUACUAUAUAACGAGUACAUUGUCUACGAUAUUGCUCAGGUAAAUCUGAAGUAUCUGCUGAAACUGAAAUUCAAUUUUAAGACCUCCCUGUGGUAAUUGGGAGAGGUGGCCGACUCACACCCGGUGGCUCUGGUAUGAAUUCACCUGAAGCGCUUCUGCACCAACUCACCUGGCCGACUAAGUUGCGCAUGGAUAGUGCCUGUACUAAACCACCUCAGAAAGGAUUUUACAGAAAUGCGUUAAAGGUUUUCUCCAACUUUUCAAGUCCCUUGUUUUGUGUUGUGUUUGUGGGGAGGGGUUGUUUGGGGGUUGUUUUUGUUUUUUCUUGCCAGGUAGAUAAAACUGACAUAGAGAAAAGGCUGGAGAGAGAUUCUGUUUUGCAUAGACUAGUCCUGUGGAAAAAAACCAAGCUUCGUUAGAACGUCUGCCUUACUGGUUUCCCCAGGGAAGGAAAAAUACGUUUCCACUCUCUUUUCUAAGUGUUCGUCUUUAGUUUCGAUUUUGGAAAGAUGUUAAGCAUUUUAUUUUUAGUUAAAAAUAAAAACUAAUUUCAUACUAUUUAGAUUUUCUUUUUUAUCUUGCACUUAUUGUCCACUUUUUAUUUUGUUUGCCUCUUUGUGAGGGGUGUGGGAAGACCAAAGGAAGGAACGCUAACAAUUUCUCAUACUUAGAAACAAAAAGAGCUUUCCUUCUCUAGGAAUACUUGAACAUGGGAGCUCUUGAAAUACGUAGUGUUAAAAGUUUCAUUUGAAAUUCUUGACUUUCUUAUGGGCACUUUUGUCUUCCAAAUUAAAACUCUACCGCCAAUAUACUUAUCCAAGGGCUAAUAGUAAUACUCGAUUAAAAAUGCAGAUGCCUUCUC